rnacentral:lncRNA from 1 species
ACGAUGGAACCGCCUCCUUUUGGAACCUACCAUGCGAUAUAUACAUGGUUGAAGUGAUAUUGUCAUACUAUGAGUCUUUAAAUCUCUGGCGACAUUCGUUCGAUACCAAAUUGACAGUUUAAACUUGCAUAUUGUCAAAGUGAUGGCAGCACAUCUGGGCAACUCUUCCCCAUCUGAAUUUGUACAAAUAUAAUUUUGGGAGUUGCGCUAAAUUUUUCCUAUUUCGUACUUUGAUUUUGUUGGAUAUUCAUAACAAUUUGUUAUGAUUUGUGAGUCUGUAAUGUUUGUGAGUCUGUAAUGUUUAUUGGAGUUUAUGUAAACUGGGUUGGAUAUACAGGUUGUUUCUGUUUUGGUUAUCAUUAUUAAAACUU